ACAGCCGCGGCCCGGCCUUGCCAAUGGCGGGCGGGGGAGGCCGGGACCUGGGCCGGGGGGCGGCUGCCGACGUGGUGCCCGAGACCCGCGAGCACCUCUUCAAGGUGCUGGUCAUCGGCGAGCUCGGCGUGGGCAAGACCAGCAUCAUCAAGCGCUACGUCCACCAGCUCUUCUCCCAGCACUACCGGGCCACCAUCGGGGUGGACUUCGCCCUCAAGGUCCUCAACUGGGACAGCAAGACGCUGGUGCGGCUGCAGCUGUGGGACAUCGCGGGACAGGAGCGGUUUGGCAACAUGACUCGAGUAUAUUAUAAAGAAGCUCUUGGUGCUUUCAUAGUCUUUGAUAUAUCAAGAAGUUCCACAUUUGAGGCAGUCUUAAAAUGGAAAAAUGAUCUAGACAGUAAGGUCCAUCUCCCAAAUGGCAGCCCUAUUCCUGCUGUCCUCCUAGCUAACAAAUGUGACCAGAAAAAGGAGAGUGGCCAGAGUCCUCCCCAGAUGGACCAGUUCUGCAAAGAACAUGGCUUCAGUGGAUGGUUUGAAACCUCUGCAAAGGUUCAUAAUUCAUACAUUCCACAUUCCAGUUAUUAUUGGAUGUCUACAGCUGUUUCUUCUCAUUUUGAGUUAUGCCACAUCAUCAGAUGAAGGUCCCAAAAGCUUGACUCCGUCCAUGUCAUUAAGGUCAACUCUACUUUGACAGGUAGCUCUUCCUCAGUGGUAUUUUGAGUGCCUUUCAACCUGAAGGGCUCAUCUUCCAGCACUAUAUCAGACAGUGUUCUUCUGCUGUUCAUAAAGUUUUCACUGGCUAAGUUCUUUCAGAAGUAGACCACCAGGUUCUUCUGCCUAGUCUGUCCUACUCUGGAAGCUCAGCUGAAACCUGUCCACCCUGGAUGACCCUGCUGGUAUUUGAGUACCUGUGGCAUAGCUUCCGUCAUCACAGCAACACUCAAGCCCCCGCGGAUAACAUAAACAUAGAUGAAGCAGCCCGAUUCCUGGUAGAGAAUAUUCUUGCGAACCACCAAAACUUUCCUAAUGAAGAAAAUGAUGCGGACAAAAUUAAACUGGAUCAGGACACCUUGACAGCAGAGAGGAAAUCCCAGUGUUGCUAACAUGGCUCCUGCUCCUGUCAUGCCAAAUGCAGCCUGACUGGAUUCUGAACGAAUUCCU